rnacentral:rRNA from 1 species
GGGGAUAGGGUGCUUGCACCUGGAUUCCUAGCGGCGGACGGGUGAGUAAUGCUUAGGAAUCUGCCUAUUAGUGGGGGACAACGUUCCGAAAGGGACGCUAAUACCGCAUACGUCCUACGGGAGAAAGCAGGGGAUCUUCGGACCUUGCGCUAAUAGAUGAGCCUAAGUCGGAUUAGCUAGUUGGUGGGGUAAAGGCCUACCAAGGCGACGAUCUGUAGCGGGUCUGAGAGGAUGAUCCGCCACACUGGGACUGAGACACGGCCCAAACUCCUACGGGAGGCAGCAGUGGGGAAUAUUGGACAAUGGGGGGAACCCUGAUCCAGCCAUGCCGCGUGUGUGAAGAAGGCCUUUUGGUUGUAAAGCACUUUAAGCGAGGAGGAGGCUUACCUGGUUAAUACCUGGGAUAAGUGGACGUUACUCGCAGAAUAAGCACCGGCUAACUCUGUGCCAGCAGCCGCGGUAAUACAGAGGGUGCAAGCGUUAAUCGGAUUUACUGGGCGUAAAGCGCGCGUAGGUGGCUAAUUAAGUCAAAUGUGAAAUCCCCGAGCUUAACUUGGGAAUUGCAUUCGAUACUGGUUAGCUAGAGUAUGGGAGAGGAUGGUAGAAUUCCAGGUGUAGCGGUGAAAUGCGUAGAGAUCUGGAGGAAUACCGAUGGCGAAGGCAGCCAUCUGGCCUAAUACUGACACUGAGGUGCGAAAGCAUGGGGAGCAAACAGGAUUAGAUACCC